AUAACAUUGCACUCCACGAGGAGCCUGCCUGUUACGCGAAUUCAGUAAGCCAAGCCUAUAGGCCUAGUUGAAAUUGAAAACCUACCUCUCCCAAGAACCCACGCCAGUCCCAAGACGGACGAAAAGGAGAUAGCCACAGGUCAACAAACAAGAAAGAUUGGAAGAGGAAAACGACUUACAAGCCAUGGCUACAAGACAGCUCGUCCAAGAGCGACGUCGAUCGACCAAAGACCACCAGCGCCCAUCCACUCUGGGAAACAAUGCAGGUGGAGACAACACAUAUGGACAAGGCAGGGAGAUCAUAAAUCAAGUCAGAGGACAGGGGCGAAAUCUAUCCAAAAGAAAAAUGACUGAAGAUGAGUCUCUGUUCUCAAUACUAUGUUAUGCUCUAAGACACACAACCACCAAGAUAGCUCUCAGUAAUUUAUUGGACAUGAUACAUCUCCGUUGUCCAAAGGGGGAAAACGUCAUUCCCAACAGCCAGGUUUAUGAAGUAUUUUGACUGUAAUGACACUUUUGAAAUGCAGUAUAUUUGUCCAACAUGCCAGUAUUUCUUUGGCAGUGAAGUGCCAGAUCAUCGCACAUCGUGUGCUUGCCUCCCUGGGGAUAUGCCAUCUCUUGUCAAGAGUGGAUCAGUGUUUAUGAAAUUGUUAGUCAAAAAACAACUAGAGGAAAAGCUCUCAGAUCCCAAAUUCUGUAAAGCAUUAGAAUAUAAGUAUUCUUGGUCCAAGAGCAGCCCAGAUAGUACAGAUUACAUUUAUGAUGGUGCACUAUACAAGUCAAUAUAUGCCCUUAAUGGCACUGAUUUAAUGAACCUUUCACUCUCACGGAAUGAGGAAGGUGUUCCAAUAUUCAAGUCCUUUCCCUUUCACAUCUGCCCCUAAAAGUCAUAGUUAAUUAAGUUCCCCCAAACCUAAGAGCAUAGCACAUCAUUCUUGUGGGGCUGUGGUUUGGGCUACUGGUGCUAUCACAAAGGAGAAGUGGUAAACGAGGGUAAUGGGUUCACUAGAGUGUAUCUACCAGUGGUGGAAAAAGUACCCAAUUGUCAUACUUGAGUAAAAGUAGAGAUACCUUAAUAGAAAAUGACUCAAGUAAAAGUCAUCCAGUAAAAUACUGCUUGUAUGUAAAUGAAGUCAUUGACUCGGCCUGUCCUUAAACAUUCGUAUGCCCAUAUGCUAAUACUUCACACCAAAGAUUUUAAGGCACAGAUCAAUAGCCAAGAUACUCAGCUUUCCGCAGACACCAUGCUUUUGCUGAUAGAUGCUUCUGUUCUCAUACCAGACUACAUUAACUGUUUAAAAAAAUCAAGUAGCGUCCCCAAAUAUUGGGACUUUACAUUUAAGAGGUACUUUACACCACUGGUAUCCGCUUGAGUGAGCCAGAACCACGCACAGACACUAAACACCUCAGAGAGGUUGCCUUGGGAACAUCAUCAGUCAGGGAACAUCAUACAUGGUGUUAAGGGCCCAUCUCCUUUAAUGUUUCUUACUGUUUUCAACAUGAUUGCAGGGUUUGCUUUUGAUUACAAGCAUGGCAUCUUAUAUGGCAUAUGUUGGCAAAUGACUACACUGUGGUUUGAGUCCAAAUAUCCAAAUAUCACCCUGAGUCCUGGUACAUUGGUACAGAAAUAGUGCAUAAACAAAAGAUUGCUUGCCACAAAACCACCUGUAAAUGUGACAAGACAACCACGCGCAAUUCAUUUACUCAAAUAUUGGAAAGCCACAGAGUUCUGACACUUCCUGCUACAGCUAUUUUUAGGUCUCUCCAGAGAUGUUUGAUCUGGUUCAAGUCCAGUCUCUGGCUGGGCCACUCAAGUAUAUUCAGAGAAUUGUCCGGAAGUCACUCCUGCAUUGUCUUGGCCAUGUGCUUAGGGUUGUUGUCAUGUUGGAAUGUGAACCUUCGCCCCAGUCAGAGGCCCUGAGCACUCUGGAAUAGGUUUUCAUCAAGAAUCUCUGUAGUUCGCUCCUUUUAUCUAUCCCUCGAUCCUGACGAGUCUCCCAGUCCCUGCCGCUGAAAAACAUCCCCACAGCAUGAUGCUGCCACCACCGUGCUUAACUGUAGGGAUGGUGUCAGGUUUCCU